CCUACGGGUGGCAGCAGUGGGGGAUAUUGCACAAUGGGGGAAACCCUGAUGCAGCGACGCCGCGUGUGGGAAGACGGUCCUCUGGAUUGUAAACCACUGUCCCCAGGGACGAAGAUGACGGUACCUGGGGAGGAAGCUCCGGCUAACUACGUGCCAGCAGCCGCGGUAAUACGUAGGGAGCGAGCGUUGUCCGGAAUUACUGGGUGUAAAGGGAGCGCAGGCGGCGCGUUAAGCCUGGUGUGAAAGCCCGCGGCCCAACCGCGGGACUGCAGUGGGGACUGGCGCGCUGGAGUGCCGGAGGGGUAGGCGGAAUUCCUAGUGUAGCGGUGAAAUGCGUAGAUAUUAGGAGGAACACCAGUGGCGAAGGCGGCCUACUGGACGGUGACUGACGCUGAGGCUCGAAAGCGUGGGGAGCAAACAGGAUUAGAUACCCUGGUAGUC
rnacentral:rRNA from 1 species